GGCCUGGUGGUCUAGUAGUAUGAUUCCUUCUUAGGGUUUCCUGAUAUCGUGUCACCAUUGGAGGAGGUCCCGGGUUCAAUUCCCGGCCAGGCCC